AGUGGAGAGAGCUCUAUCUCAUG
rnacentral:miRNA from 10 species